GUUACGCGGUGGCUGCGAUUGUGUGUCCUAGUCGCCGGCAGCCCCCUCCUGCCCGGCGAAGGGAAGCUACGACGGCUCCACCUGCUGGAGCAAGCCGGCAACCACCAACGCUAUGGCUGCUGUUUCUGUCUCGGCGUCGCCUCCACCGCCGCCACCUCCUUCUUCUUGGGCGCUCCGCCUUUAGGUUACCUCACCUAGAAACUGUGUCCAAUGCAAGGGAACAGUCCUGGAAAAAAUAUAAGGGAGGGGGGAUCCCCUUCAACAAUACCCUACGAAUCAGCGUGCCUCUGAGCGUGUGCAGAAGGAAGCACCACUGAACAUCAAUACUGCUGAAAAUUUGGACGUAUUUGAGGUCACAAAAAGGAGAUGAAAACCAACAAUGUUAGUGCAGGAAAAACAAUUCAGUAUCACCUCUGCACACUGGAGGAAAAUGUCACAACUGGGGAACUGACCAGAUGAACUGGCUUCAGACAGAAAUCGCCUUCACCCUAUGAAGAACUGAGUUAGCGCUUGGGACAAAAGAGGGAUCCAACCAAAGCAUUCUCUUUAUGCUGAUGAAGCAUGCACAGCUGUGGAUCAGACAACGCCUCCAGUUCCAAAACCCGUCUAGGUGGUGUGAUAGUUUCCAGGAACUUUUUAAACAUCCUCAUCUUUAGGGGGCACAUGGCCAUGCACUUGAACUGGGAUCCCAUUAGGGAAACCAUUACCCAGUUAAGAUUCCAAGUCGGAAACCCAUGUACUACCGAAAGGUUCAGCAGUGCUGCCUCUUUCAGGGAUGAUUUCAUUUGUGGUGCACCCUAGAACAUUGCUCACAGUUGCUGCCUGGCAUUUGACAGUAUUGGCUUUGGGCUGGGCCAGCCUGCAGAAACCACAGGAUGCCCUUAAGACAUCUACUGUCUGGGAUUUGGCCUUGACCCUCACACCAGGAGAGGAAUGCCAUUCAGAAUAUAUUGUACACUUUGUUUGUGGAGGCCUUACAAGAGGAUAGGAGCGUGUUUGGCAUUUUUUGUAACAUACCAUCUGUGUCUGCCACUUCUGAGUUCUGGUUGGGCAGAAGUUCCCUCCAGCUGGGGAGCCUCCAGAACUCCUGUGCCAACAAAUUGUGUGAUUCUGGGAACCUUAGCCAUCAAGAUCAAUGUGGGGUUAAUUAGGAUCUCCUUGGAAGCACCUUCCAUAGACCCAUGGCAUUAGCAGGCCACAGGGCCAACAGGUUUUUAAGGCAUAUGUGCUGUGGCAUAUGCACACAGGAACUGAGAAAUGAAUUGUUGGACUUGUGCAAACAGGCCCAGCAUUGGAUGUCCAAACCAACAAGUCAGUUAUGAACUACCGGAGGGUUCAGCAAUGGGAUUGAGAGUCUCAUUUCAACUCCUAGAUCAAAGCCCUGCUGAGUCAGUCUGGUGGAACCCACUACAUCUUCCACUCUGAUGAAUAGAAGGUGGAUCUCCACCUACAUCAACAGGUUACUUUCAUUUGUGCUGAGUGUGUGGAAUCUUGUGCCCCUUUUCCUGUUCAUAGAAGCUGAUGCAGGUCACUUCCAGAUGACCUGUUUAAUGAGCAUUCAUCCUGCUUUCUUUGCACAAAGUUUGUGGGGAGGUU